rnacentral:rRNA from 1 species
AUGGGCUCAUCUUUUUAUGUUGAUGUAAAUAUUUUUCAUGUAGCGACCGUAAACAACCCUGGAUCAGAUUCAAAUAUAUUUGCUCUUGUAAUCUUAACUCUCAACAUUUCCUACACAAUGACAAAAGGGGUUCUCAAGUCACCCAAAUCUUUCCCCACCCCAACCAGUGUGUUUUCUUGUUUUUUUUUUCGAGAGUACGCAAAAGUGCUCUCUUGUUUUGAUUCGGGCCUCCUCCACUCCGCCCUCUCCUUGGCUCUUCCCAUCGGUGGCUCAUCCUCCUUGUCGCUUCCUUCCAGCUCCUCCACUAUGCCCUCUCCCUCCAUAGUGACGAAGGGCCCCACCCACUCAUUGAGCAGUUUUUUUUCUUUCGAAACGGACUUGAGCAGGUUGUUGAGGUGGACGGCUGGACGCCGAGAUCGAGUUGGAGCUCAACGCGGGGAACAGUUUGUGAGCUUCGUUCGACCAAUUGCCCAUUUGUAG